UACGAAGGUGGCAAGCGUUAUUCGGAUUCACUGGGCGUAAAGGGUGCGCAGGCGGCCGAGUGUGUGAGGCGUGAAAGCCCGGGGCUUAACCCCGGAAUUGCACCUCAAACUACACGGCUAGAGCAUUGGAGAGGGUAGCAGAAUUCAUGGUGUAGCAGUGAAAUGCGUAGAUAUCAUGAGGAAUACCAGAGGCGAAGGCGGCUACCUGGACAAUUGCUGACGCUCAGGCACGAAAGCGUGGGGAGCAAAAGGG
rnacentral:rRNA from 1 species